rnacentral:rRNA from 1 species
UGGGGAAUAUUGCACAAUGGGCGCAAGCCUGAUGCAGCCAUGCCGCGUGUGUGAAGAAGGCCUUCGGGUUGUAAAGCACUUUCAGCGGGGAGGAAGGCGAUAAGGUUAAUAACCUUGUCGAUUGACGUUACCCGCAGAAGAAGCACCGGCUAACUCCGUGCCAGCAGCCGCGGUAAUACGGAGGGUGCAAGCGUUAAUCGGAAUUACUGGGCGUAAAGCGCACGCAGGCGGUCUGUCAAGUCGGAUGUGAAAUCCCCGGGCUCAACCUGGGAACUGCAUUCGAAACUGGCAGGCUGGAGUCUUGUAGAGGGGGGUAGAAUUCCAGGUGUAGCGGUGAAAUGCGUAGAGAUCUGGAGGAAUACCGGUGGCGAAGGCGGCCCCCUGGACAAAGACUGACGCUCAGGUGCGAAAGCGUGGGGAGCAAACAGG